CCACCAGGGCCUGUGCUUCCUGGAGUCUGACCCCUGCCAGAGCAUUGGCCCUGGGAAG
rnacentral:pre_miRNA from 1 species